GGCAACCCUGACGGAGCAACGCCGCGUGGGGGAGGAAUGUCUGUGGAUUGUAAACCCCUUUUCUCAGGGAAGAAGUCUGACGGUACCUGAGGAAUCAGCAUCGGCUAACUCCGUGCCAGCAGCCGCGGUAAGACGGAGGAUGCAAGCGUUAUCCGGAAUUAUUGGGCGUAAAGCGUCCGUAGGCGGUUUAUCAAGUCUGCCGUUAAAGACUGCAGCUUAACUGUGGGCGAGCGGUGGAAACUGAUGAACUAGAGUACGGUAGGGGUAGAGGGAAUUCCCAGUGUAGCGGUGAAAUGCGUAGAUAUUGGGAAGAACACCAGUGGCGAAAGCGCUCGACUGGGCCUGCACUGACACUGAGGGGCGAAAGCUAGGGGAGCG
rnacentral:rRNA from 1 species